GGAGUCGGCCGGGCAGCCGCUGUGCUUACGCGCAGAGGAAAGUCCGGGCUCCGCAGGACGGGAUGCCAGGUAACGCCUGGGGGGUGUGAGCCCACGGACAGUGCCACAGAAAACACACCGCCGAUGGCCGCAAGGCUCAGGCAAGGGUGAAAAGGUGCGGUAAGAGCGCACCGCGCGACGGGCAACCGCUCGCGGCACGGAAAACCCCAUCCGGAGCAAGGCCAAAUAGGGAAGCAGCGGGGCAACCCGCGCGUGCGGUCCGCACGGCUUCCGGGUAGGCCGCUAGAGGCGCGCGGCGACGCG
rnacentral:RNase_P_RNA from 1 species